AGUGGCGGACGGGUGAGUAACGCGUGAGAAUCUGCCUUGGGGUCGGGGACAACCACUGGAAACGGUGGCUAAUACCGGAUACGCCUUCGGGUAAAAGAUUUAUUGCCCUAAGAGGAGCUCGCGUCUGAUUAGCUAGUUGGUGAGGUAAGAGCUCACCAAGGCAGCGAUCAGUAGCUGGUCUGAGAGGACGAUCAGCCACACUGGGACUGAGACACGGCCCAGACUCCUACGGGAGGCAGCAGUGGGGAAUUUUCCGCAAUGGGCGAAAGCCUGACGGAGCAAGACCGCGUGAGGGAGGAAGGCUCUUGGGUUGUAAACCUCUUUUCUCAGGGAAGAAGCUCUGACGGUACCUGAGGAAUCAGCCUCGGCUAACUCCGUGCCAGCAGCCGCGGUAAUACGGAGGAGGCAAGCGUUAUCCGGAAUUAUUGGGCGUAAAGCGUCCGCAGGUGGCGAUUCAAGUCUGCUGCCAAAGCACGGGGCUUAACUCCGUAAAGGCAGUGGAAACUGAAUAGCUAGAGUGCCGUAGGGGUAGAGGGAAUUCCCGGUGUAGCGGUGAAAUGCGUAGAGAUCGGGAAGAACAUCGGUGGCGAAAGCGCUCUACUGGACGGCAACUGACACUCAGGGACGAAAGCUAGGGGAGCGAAUGGGAUUAGAUACCCC
rnacentral:rRNA from 1 species